GCCUUUGUGGUGUAACGGUAGCACAGUUGGCGCGUAUUCGAGAGGUCCAGGUUCGAGUCCCGGUGAGGGCA
rnacentral:tRNA from 1 species